AACGAACGCUGGCGGCAUGCCUAACACAUGCAAGUCGAACGAGAUCUUCGGGUCUAGUGGCGCACGGGUGCGUAACGCGUGGGAAUCUGCCCUUUGGUUCGGAAUAACAGUUGGAAACGACUGCUAAUACCGGAUGAUGACGAAAGUCCAAAGAUUUAUCGCCAGAGGAUGAGCCCGCGUAGGAUUAGCUAGUUGGUGUGGUAAAGGCGCACCAAGGCGACGAUCCUUAGCUGGUCUGAGAGGAUGAUCAGCCACACUGGGACUGAGACACGGCCCAGACUCCUACGGGAGGCAGCAGUGGGGAAUAUUGGACAUUGGGCGAAAGCCUGAUCCGGCAAUGCCGCGUGAGUGAUGAAGGCCUUAGGGUUGUAAAGCUCUUUUACCCGGGAUGAUAAUGACAGUACCGGGAGAAUAAGCUCCGGCUAACUCCGUGCCAGCAGCCGCCGUAAGAC
rnacentral:rRNA from 1 species